rnacentral:rRNA from 1 species
GAAGCAACGCGAAGAACCUUACCAGGUCUUGACAUCCUCUGACAAUCCUAGAGAUAGGACGUCCCCUUCGGGGGCAGAGUGACAGGUGGUGCAUGGUUGUCGUCAGCUCGUGUCGUGAGAUGUUGGGUUAAGUCCCGCAACGAGCGCAACCCUUGAUCUUAGUUGCCAGCAUUCAGUUGGGCACUCUAAGGUGACUGCCGGUGACAAACCGGAGGAAGGUGGGGAUGACGUCAAAUCAUCAUGCCCCUUAUGACCUGGGCUACACACGUGCUACAAUGGACAGAACAAAGGGCAGCGAAACCGCGAGGUUAAGCCAAUCCCACAAAUCUGUUCUCAGUUCGGAUCGCAGUCUGCAACUCGACUGCGUGAAGCUGGAAUCGCUAGUAAUCGCGGAUCAGCAUGCCGCGGUGAAUACGUUCCCGGGCCUUGUACACACCGCCCGUCACACCACGAGAGUUUGUAACACCCGAAGUCGGUGAGGUAACCUUUUAGGAGCCAGCCGCCGAAGGUGGGACAGAUGAUGGGGGUGAAGUCGUAACAAGGUAGCCGAUCGAA